rnacentral:rRNA from 1 species
AACGAACGCUGGCGGCAGGCUUAACACAUGCAAGUCGAGCGCCCCGCAAGGGGAGCGGCAGACGGGUGAGUAACGCGUGGGAACGUACCUUUUGGUUCGGAACAACUCCGGGAAACUGGAGCUAAUACCGGAUAAGCCCUAACGGGGAAAGAUUUAUCGCCGAAAGAUCGGCCCGCGUCUGAUUAGCUAGUUGGUGAGGUAACGGCUCACCAAGGCGACGAUCAGUAGCUGGUCUGAGAGGAUGAUCAGCCACACUGGGACUGAGACACGGCCCAGACUCCUACGGGAGGCAGCAGUGGGGAAUAUUGGACAAUGGGCGCAAGCCUGAUCCAGCCAUGCCGCGUGAGUGAUGAUGGCCUUAGGGUUGUAAAGCUCUUUUGUCCGGGAAGAUAAUGACUGUACCGGAAGAAUAAGCCCCGGCUAACUUCGUG